AGAGUUUGAUCCUGGCUCAGGAUGAACGCUAGCUACAGGCUUAACACAUGCAAGUCGAGGGGCAGCAUGAUUUGAAGCUUGCUUCAAUUGAUGGCGACCGGCGCACGGGUGAGUAACACGUAUCCAACCUGCCGAUAACUCGGGGAUAGCCUUUCGAAAGAAAGAUUAAUACCCGAUAGUAUAGUAUUUCCGCAUGGUUUCACUAUUAAAGAAUUUCGGUUAUCGAUGGGGAUGCGUUCCAUUAGAUAGUUGGCGGGGUAACGGCCCACCAAGUCAACGAUGGAUAGGGGUUCUGAGAGGAAGGUCCCCCACAUUGGAACUGAGACACGGUCCAAACUCCUACGGGAGGCAGCA
rnacentral:rRNA from 1 species